AAACAUGGCCUUUGGGAGACAUUAAAGGUCUGACCUGCCCACUGUAUAAUAAAGGGCCGCGGUAAUUUGACUGUGCAAAGGUAGCAUAAUCAUUAGUCUUUUAAUUGAGGGCUGGCAUGAACGGUUGGACGAAACAAAAGCUGUCUCAUUAUAAAUUGUGAAUUUCACUUCUUAGUGAAAAGGCUAAGAUGAGUUUGGAGGACGAAAAGACCCUAUAGAGUUUUAUAUACAUUUAGUUAAGUAAUUUGGAAAAUUUUUAUUUUAAGAAAAUUUAUAUUUGGUUGGGGUGAUUAUAAAAUAAAUAAACUUUUUUUAAAUUACCAAGGAUUGUUGAAUGUAUGAUCCAUUUUUAGUGAUUAGUAGAGUAAAUUACCUUAGGGAUAACAGCAUAAUUUUUCUGGAGAGUUCAAAUCGAUAGAAAAGCUUGUGACCUCGAUGUUGGAUUAGAAAGGGGCUUAGGUGUAGCAGCUUAAACCCCAGGUCUGUUCGACCUUUAAAAUUCUACGUGAUCU
rnacentral:rRNA from 1 species